UACCUGGUUGAUCCUGCCAGUAGUCAUAUGCUUGUCUCAAAGAUUAAGCCAUGCAAGUCUAAGUACGAGCUCUCGUACAGUGAAACUGCGAAUGGCUCAUUAAAUCAGUUAUGGUUCAUUUGAUCGUACAGUUUACUUGGAUAACUGUGGUAAUUCUAGAGCUAAUACAUGCGAGAAGCGCCGACCUCGCGGGAGGCGUGCAUUUAUCAGACCAAAAACCGGCCGCGUCUUCGGGCGCGUUCGCCUUGGUGACUCUGGAUAACUUUGCGGAUCGCACGGUCUAGCACCGGCGACGGAUCAUUCAAGUGUCUGCCCUAUCAACUUUCGUCGGUACGGUAUUUGCCUACCGAGGUUCUUACGGGUGACGGGGAAUCAGGGUUCGAUUCCGGAGAGGGAGCCUGAGAAACGGCU
rnacentral:ncRNA from 1 species